rnacentral:lncRNA from 1 species
UUCUACCAAUUCAUUCAAUAUAGUCUCGGGAACUUCGAUGUCUUGCCCACAUCUUAGCGGUGUUGCAGCUGUAAUCAAGGCAAUGCAUCCAGAUUGGUCACCUGCUGCCAUAAAGUCAGCAAUUUUAACCACUGCUUACACAGUUGACCUUAGUGGCAAGCCAAUCUCCAAUGAGCAGAAUUCUCCUGCUACUGCCUUUGAUAUGGGUGCUGGCCAUGUGAACCCACCAAAAGCUUUGGAUCCAGGUUUGAUAUAUGAUAUCCAACCAGAUGAUUACGCUGCGUAUAUCUGCAGUUUGGGUUACAAUGACGCACAAGUAAGAAUGAUCGUGCAGUGGAAAGUGAAGUGCUCGAACGAAUCUUCCAUACCCGGUGCUCAACUGAACUACCCUACAUUUUAUGUCUCUCUGGGUUCUAGUCCACAAACACAUACCAGAACAGUCACCAAUAUUGGCACGCAUAACUCGACUUACAGCAGCAAGGUAUUCCCACCAGAAGGUGUCGAUGUUAAAGUCGAGCCAAGUGAGUUUAAGUUCAACGAGCUGAAAGAGAAAGCAACGUAUUCGAUAACAUUCAACAGGGUCGGAAAUGCGACAGGAACUAUGAGCCAAGGUUCCUUGGUGUGGUCAUCUACUGAUGAUAGGUACAAAGUUGUGAGCACAAUUGCUGUGGUAUUUGUUUGAUGUAUAAGGAAUCUACGCCUAUCCGCUAGUAAGGGUUAAAAUGAAGCUUAAUAUUCUAGGGAUUUCAAUCUGUUGCUGCUAUAAAUAAAUAAUGUUGUUAUUAUGUAAUUACAAGUACGUGGUAUAGAGUUAAUGCCUCCGCAAUUCCAUGGAUCACUUCACGGUAUUGCAGUGCUCUCUCGACAGAACCACCAAAUCUCGAGUUACGGGUUACGAACAAUCAAAACCCUUAAAAAUAUUUCUUAACUUUAUUUUGCUAUUAUUUGAAGGAAUUAACCGGGUAAAACCUCAAAUUUUAGUCAUUCCUAACAUGCAUAUCAAAUAUUAACCAAUGUAAAAAUGGUCAAUUUUCAUGUAAAAAUGGUCAAAAUUUGACCAUUUUCACAAGAAAAUUUCAAAAUUUUCAAAUCGGCUAAUAUUUGACAUGCAUGUUGGAAAUGACUAAAAAUCAAAUUUUGCUUUGAUAACCCAUGUAAAUAAUCAUCGAAUGAAGUUAAAAAUCAACUUUACUUGGUGUUUUGUUAGUGUUGAACAUUUUCAAAUUGGCUUACGUUAUGGGUGUUGAGCCAUCGUUACAUGAAUUUUAUUUUAUUAACUUUGACCAUACACAAUUUUGUGGGAACCAAAANNNNNNNNNNNNNNNNNNNNNNNNNNNNNNNNNNNNNNNNNNNNNNNNNNNNNNNNNNNNNNNNNNNNNNNAUACUUUUUUUACUUAUUUUAUUAAUAUUAAAUAGUCUAAUGUUGUAUAUAUCAUACAAAAAAUGAAAAGAUUCCAUCGUGGCCAGGACUUAAAUUCGGGCCUUUCAUGUAAGAGCCAAAUAUCCUGACCAACUAAACUACAACGGAUUUGCUUGGCAUCCUUACUUUUUCCUAAACAAACUAGAAAAUAAACCUUAGUACUCUUGCGUUUCGAUUGUGGCUAAGUGCCUCACUAUUUUAAAUAGUAAUCCUAUGUUAUGUUUGGCGAUAGGAAUUAUGAUUUCUAGGAAAGUUGAAUUAAAAUAGUACAAAAUAGUUGAGUUGAGGUUGAAAGGAAUUGAGAAAAAAGUGCUAAAUUCAAAGGAUACGAAAGAUUCCUAAAAAAGUUUAUUUUCCCAUGAAAUAGAUUGAGAAACACGAUUCCAAUUGAAAUCCUUAUUUCCUUUGAUUCAAGUUUCCAUCCACAAUAUUUUUUUACUCCAACUCAAUUUUUUUAAACUAAUCUCAAUUCAACUUUCCUAGGAAUCAUGAUUUCUAUUGCCAAACAUAGGCUUAGUAACUCGUUAGUUUCUCGAAAUUUGAUCAUACCUAGUACCCUUGCGAUUUUCCCGUGCCUUACUGCCUCGCACGAUUGCAGUUCGAGAUCUUAGUACCUCACAUUCCGUUCCUACUACUCCGUGCCUCGCAGUUUGUUCGUGGCUUAGUGCCUCACACUUUCAUCAUGGCUCUAGUGGCUCGUGGUUUGUUCAUGGCUUAACGCCCCGCAUGUUGACCGUGGAUGUGACCUUCGUGUUAUAAUGAACACUGUGCUUGGCUACUGCAUCGUAGUUUUUCUGCAACGCUUGCUUGGUUAGAUCUUUACUUUCAGUGCUUAAACGUUGUGCUUUCAGAUUUCUCCAUCUCAGAAGUUUGAUUUGACAAGAAAAAAUCACACUUAGUUUUCCCUCACACGUCGAAGCUUACAAUGAAAGGUGCAACUGGCGGGGUUAAAGACAAUCUGCUAAAGAAAAUCUGCAACUUGUUUCUUGGAAACAAUGUAAAUGGAAAUCUUAUCCUUAUGCUACAUCAACGGAAUACCACCACAAGAUGGAGAGAUAAUCCAUUUUGGAAGUUCAUGACUGAUACAAUAACUCUAAUUAGUACUAUCAAGUAAAAGGAAGUUUAGCAGUUUCACCAUAGUUACACACAAAGAAACAUGAAAGCCUUACUUCUCAUCACAUUCUUCUUCUUCUUCUUCUCCUUACAAGAAGCAUCAGCUUCUGGAAAAAGCAACUUAGACACUUACAUUGUGUUUCUACAGAAACCAGAGAGCCUAGUAUCCACACAAUCAACUGAUUUUGAUUUAUAUUGCUGGUACCAAACAUUCCUUCCUGAAACUGUAUUAAGCUCAAGUGAAGAACAGCGCAUGGUGCAUUCAUAUCGAAAUGCGAUCACCGGCUUUGCUGCUAAGCUUACACCAGAAGAAGCAAAAGCAAUGGAGCAGAAGGAAGGGUUCGUGUCAGCAAGACUUGAGAGAACAUUGUCUCUACAUACAACUCACACUCCCAACUUCCUGGGUCUCCAUCUAGGAGCUGGUUGGAACUCUUCAAAUCUAGGAGAAGGAGUGAUCAUAGGUAUGAUUGACAGUGGCAUCAAAUAUGAUCAUCCUUCGUUUUGUGACCAAGGUAUGCCUCCACCUCCUGCAAAAUGGAAAGGCAAGUGUGAGUUCAAUGGUAAGAUGACUUAUAACAACAAGCUCAUAGGAGCUAGAAGCUUUCCCUCUCCAGGGCAUGUUUUGGAAGAGGUUUUCCAUGGAACUCAUACUGCUGCGGAAGCUGCUGGAACUGCCGUGGAAAGUGCCAACCUGUUUGGACAAGCGAACGGUACAGCAAUGGGGAUCGCCCCGUUUGCCCACUUGGCGAUAUACAAGGCCUGUUCAACUUCUUUUGAAUGCUUUGAGAGUUCGGUGUUGGCAGCAAUGGAUGUUGCUAUAGAGGAUGGUGUUGAUGUGCUUUCACUGUCAAUUGGAAUUCCAUCAGAUCAUCUUUAUGAUGAUGUAAUUGCAUUGGGUGCAUUCAGAGCCAUGCAAAAUGGUAUCUUUGUGAGCUGUUCAGCUGGCAACGGUGGACCAUAUAGCUCUUCUUUAGCAAAUGAGGCACCUUGGAUUUUAACCGUUGGAGCAAGUACCAUUGAUAGGGAUAUCAGGACAACAGUGAUAUUAGGUAACAAUGAGCAAUUUCAAACCAAUCUCUUUUCCAGCCUAAGGACUUUCUUCCACAGCAACUUCCAUUUGUCGAUGUUGGCGCCAGUGGCAGUAAUUCAGCAACAUUUUGUGACGAAGGAUCACUGAAGAACAUUGACGUUACAGCCAAGAUUGUUCUCUGUCAGAUUGGAGGUAAUUCUGGAUCAGUCCACAAAGGAGUAGAAGUAAAAGAAAAUGGCGGAGUAGGCAUGAUACUAAUCAAUGGUUUGGGCAGUGGGUCUUUCACUAUACCUGCAGCCCACGUCCUCCCUGCAUCACACAUCAAUUACAAGGACGGAUUAGCGAUCAAAGCUUAUUUGAAUUCCACGUCAUCUCCUACAGCAUCAAUCUCAUUCCAAGGUACCGUGAUUGGCAAGUUGACUGCUCCACAAGUAGCAUUAUUCUCGUCUAGAGGUCCCAGCACACUAACUCCAGGGAUCCUGAAACCCGACAUCAUCGGUCCUGGGGUAAGCAUUUUAGCUGCCUGGGGAGAGUCAGUAGACAAUACUACAAAUUCAUUCAAUAUAAUCUCAGGAACUUCAAUGUCUUGCCCACAUCUUAGCGGUAUUGCAGCUAUAAUCAAGGCAGUUCAUCCAAACUGGUCACCUGCUGCCAUAAAGUCGGCCAUUUUAACCACAGCUUACACAGUUGACCGAAGUGGCAAGCCAAUCUCCACUGAGCAGGAUACCCCUGCUACUGUGUUUGAUAUGGGUGCUGGCCAUGUGAACCCACCAAAAGCUUUGAGUCCUGGCUUGGUAUAUGAUAUCCAACCGGAUGACUACAUCGGCUAUCUCUGUGGUUUGGGUUACAAUGACACGCAGGUAAGCAUAAUCGUCCAGAGAAAAGUCAAGUGCUCGAUUGAAUCUGCCAUAUCUGAGGCUCAAUUGAACUACCCAACAUUUGCUAUCUCAUUAAGUUCUAGGCCACAAACCUAUACCAGAACAGUUACUAAUGUUGGUCUGCCUGACUCAACCUACACCAGCAAGGUAUCCUCACCAGAUGGUGUGGAUGUUAAAGUCACACCGAGUGAAAUUAAGUUCAAGGAGCUGGAACAGAGAGAAACAUAUUCCAUAACAUUCAGCAGAGUGGGAAAUGUGACGGGACCUAUAAGCCAAGGUUCCUUGAUCUGGUCAUCUGCUGAUGCUCGCUACAAUGUCGUCAGCACAAUUGCAGUGGUAUUUGUUUGAUGAAAUUCUACCUAGCUAUGAUUAAUGGGAUUUGGUGUUUAUCUGUUGCUGCUAUCAGUCAAUAUUGUUGCAAUUAUGUUUGUUUCAGUGUAUGGUUACACUCCUAAAUUUUAGUUAUUCAAAUCAUUAUCAAGCAUGAUUGCAUUUACAGAAAGCAACAGACCCAUCUGUGGCCGGAUUUCAAAUUUACUCGUUUAAUCGAGUAAUCUCCGACUACUAAAUUAAAUGAUAAUGAACAGCCUCAAUCUUUUUCAAAGACACUCAAAAUAAUACAAGAAGUUGGUAACAUACGAGAUGAGUUAUCAUUAAAACGAAUUAUCAUAUGUGGGUUCCCAAUGUUUCUAGAAGUUGGGUAAAACAUCAUCAUUGCCCAUCUGCAGAACUUGUUUACUGCAUUACAUGUGGAAGCUGCGAAUCUGGAGAGGAAGCUGCAAUUUUGUUGUCCGAAACAAAAGGUAACCGACAAAUCAACAAGCUCUUCCACUAUCCUUAAACUGCAUAAAAAAAGACUGGUUCAAAAAAAAGACUGAUUGUCUUGUACCAGAUGUAAGAUAUUUGCAGCAGUAGCAAACAUAUUGCAUUGUUUCCAACGCUAAAAAUUAGUGCAAAAAAACACAAAAGGUGUCGGCAAAGGCAGCAUCUAGUUCUGUUUCUAUAUAUUGAUGUCAAAUGUUCAAACUUUCUGGAAGAGGAACUUCGCAGUUCACACCUUUGUGACCACAUAAAAAAAGACAUGAAAGCCUUUCUACUCAUUUCCCUCAUUUUAACUCCCACGUUAGUCUUCUUCUCCUUCCAGGAAACAUCAGCUUCUGGGAAAAGCGACUUAAACACGUACAUUGUGUCUUUAGACAAACCAGGAGGCCUAUUAUCCACGCAAUCACUUGAUUUUGAUUUAAAUGGCUGGUACAGAACAUUCCUACCCCAAACUAUCUUAAAAAGCUUAACUGAACAAGACCGCAUGGUCCAUUCCUACCGCAAUGUGGUCACAGGAUUUGCUGCUAGGCUUACACCAGAAGAAGCAAAAGCAAUGCAGCAAGUGGAAGGGUUUGUGUCAGCAAGGGUUGAGAGACCUUUGUCUCUACAUACUACUCACACUCCCGAGUUCUUGGGUCUGCUGCAGAAUGUAGGAGCUGGUUGGAACACUUCAAAUCUUGGCAAAGGAGUGAUCAUUGGUAUCAUUGACACUGGCAUCAAGUACGACCAUCCUUCGUUUUGCGACCAAGGUAUGCCUCCACCUCCUGCAAAAUGGAAAGGCAAGUGUGAGAUCAACGGUAAGAUGACUUGUAACAACAAGCUCAUCGGUGCCAGAAGCUUUGUCUCUUCGGGGAAUAUAUCGGAAGAAUUUAUCCAUGGAACUCAUACGGCUGGAGAAGCUGCUGGGAUUCCAGUGGAAGGUGCCAAUGUGUUUGGGCAAGCUAAUGGAACAGCAAUGGGGAUCGCCCCAUUUGCCCACUUGGCAAUGUACAAGGUCUGUAUAAAUGAUGAUGAAUGCUUUGAGAGUUCCGUAUUGGCAGCAAUAGAUGCAGCUAUAGAGGAUGGUGUUGAUGUGCUUUCACUGUCACUUGGAAAUCCUACAGAUAACCCUUUCUAUGAUGACGCUAUUGCAUUGGGUGCAUUCAGAGCCAUUCAAAGUGGCAUCUUUGUCAGCUGCUCAGCUGGAAACCAGGGACCAAAUAGCUCUUCUGUAGUAAAUGAAGCACCUUGGAUUUUAACAGUUGGAUCAAGUACCAUUGAUAGGGAUAUCCAAACAACAGUGACACUAGGAAACAAUGAGAAGUUUCAUGGCCAGUCCCUUUUCCAGCCUAAGGACUUCCACCCACAUCAAGUGCCACUUGUCGAUGCUGGCGCCAGUGGCAAUGCAUCAGCAAAAUUUUGUACAGGAGGAUCACUGAAGAACAUUGAUGUUAAAGGAAAGAUUGUUCUGUGCGAGGUGGAAGUUAAUAAGGGAAGAGUCGGCAAAGGAGUAGAAGUAAAAGCAAAUGGCGGAGUAGGAAUGAUCCUAAUCAAUAGCUUGGCCCAAGGGUAUACUACUAUACCUGAUGCCCAUGUCCUCCCUGCAUCACACAUCAAUUACAAGGAUGGAUUAGCAAUCAAAGCUUAUUUGAACUCCACCUCAUCUCCUACUGCAACAAUCUCAUUCCAAGGUACCUUGAUUGGCAAGUCUAGUGCUCCACAAGUAGCUUCGUCCUCGUCGAGAGGUCCUAGCAUACAGACUCCUGGGAUCCUGAAACCCGACAUUAUUGGUCCUGGGGUGGGCAUUUUAGCUGCUUGGGGAAAGUCGGUUGACAAUACUACCAAUUCAUUCAAUAUAAUCUCAGGAACUUCAAUGUCUUGCCCACAUCUUAGUGGCGUUGCAGCUUUGAUCAAGGCAGUGCAUCCAGACUGGUCUCCUGCUGCCAUAAAGUCGGCCAUCUUAACCACUGCUUACACAGUAGAUCGAAGUGGCAAGCCAAUCUCAAAUGAGAAAAAUUCCCCUGCUACUGCCUUUGAUAUGGGUGCAGGCCAUGUAAACCCACCAAAAGCUUUGAGUCCUGGUUUGGUAUAUGAUAUCCAACCAGAUGAUUAUGUUGGUUACCUCUGUGGUUUGGGGUACAAUGACACACAGGUAAACAUGAUCGUGCAGCGAAAAGUUAACUGUUCGAAUGAAUCUGCCAUUCCGGAGGCUCAAUUGAACUACCCUACCUUCGCUAUCUCAUUAAGUUCUACUCAACAGAUCUAUACCAGAACAGUCACUAAUGUUGGUAUGCCUGAAUCAACUUACACUAGCAAGGUAUUCACACCGGAUGGUGUGGAUGUUAAAGUCACACCUACUGAGUUUAAGGUCAAAGAGCUGGAAGAUAAAACAACAUAUUCAAUAACAUUCAGCAGAGUGGGAAAUGUGACGGGACCUAUAAGCCAAGGUUCCUUGGUCUGGUCAUCCGCUGAUGCUCGCUACAAUGUCGUGAGCACAAUUGCUGUUGUAUUUGUUUGAUGAAUUUAAACUUAGGCGCUUGGAGGGCCUAGCUAAUACAGUAAUACAAGUGGGAUUGGGUGUUUAUCUGUUACUUCUAUCAGGCAAUAAUGUAUGUUCAUUAUUAUGCUUGCAUUCACAAAAAAGCAACAAGCUUCCAUCAGCAGGUGCCUUGUGAAAUCUUCUCUGUUGAUGGUCAGAAAUCGAACGAUGCAAGCUUGUUCAUUUCUUUCUUUUUGUCAAGUGUGUUUUCACUUCGUUAAACUGUUUGUAGAUUUACUGUAUUGAACUAAAGAUAAAUAUGGAUAAGGGAAAAUGUGUUAGUAACUAACCUAGUCAUGGAUGGGAGUCGUCUGCGAGACAAAGCCUCAAUGGCUCUUGCCAAGUAUUUCAAAGGGAUUUCAAUCGUAAUGCAGCAUGCCCUAGCAGAGUGAGCAUGACAGUAUUUAGAGUCUGGCAAUGUAUAUGGUAGGCCUCAUCCUAGCGAUUGAUGUGAUCAGGGUAAACAUAGCCAUUAACUUAAGCCAAAGAAAAGAAUGAACUAACUAGAAACUGACUAUCUUACUCCCAAUUCAUCUGCAUAUGGAAUCAGAACUUUUUUGUUGGAAAUGAUGUAAAAGACAAUCUACAGGCAUGUCAAUAUGCUUAUAACAAUGGAGAAAAAGCCUUCGAAAGAUACAAUAAAUGUUCUUAGGAACGAGAAAGAGUCAGUGAUUAUAACAUUGUGAUGCUUACAACUUUUAACUUUAAAAAGUCCACGAAAGAUACAAUAUUACAUUGUUUCCAACGCUUUGAUAACUGCAAACCCAAAAUUCAAAGCAUAAUGCCAAAGGUGCAGGCAAUGCAGCAUAUGGUAUUCUUAAUUUCUUACUAUAUAUAUUGAUGUCAAUGAUUCAGGCUUUCAAAAUAGGAAGCUUACAACUUUACCGUUACAAAAGAACCAUGAAAGCCUUUCUCUUCAUUUCCCUUACUUUAGCUUCUGCAUUAUUCUUCACCUCUUUGCAGGAAACAUCAGCUUCUGGAAAAAGCAAAUUAAACACUUACAUUGUAUUUGUAGAGAAGCCAGAAAGCCUAUUAUCCACACAAUCAACUGAUAUAAAUGACUGGUACAAAACAUUCCUUCCUGCAACUACCUUAAAAAGCUCGAGCGAAGAGACACGCAUCGUGCAUUCAUAUCAGAAUGUGAUCACGGGCUUUGCUGCUAAGCUUACACAAGAAGAAGCAAAAGAAAUGGAGCAGAAGGAUGGGUUUGUCUCAGCAAGAGUUGACCGAGCCUUGUCUCUACAUACAACUCACACUCCUAAGUUUUUGGGUCUCCGGCAGAAUCUAGGAGCCGGUUGGAACGCUUCAAAUCUUGGCAAAGGAGUGAUUAUUGGUGUUAUUGACAGCGGCAUCCAGUAUGAUCAUCCUUCGUUUCGCGACAAAGGUAUGCCUCCACCUCCUGCAAAAUGGAAAGGCAAGUGUGAGAUCAAUGGCAAGAUGACUUGUAACAACAAGCUCAUCGGUACUAGAAGCUUUGUCUCUCCGGGAAAUCUAACGGAAGACGAACUCCAUGGAACUCAUACUGCUGGGGAAGCUGCUGGAACUGCUGUGGACGGUGCCAAUGUGUUUGGACAAGCUAAUGGAACUGCAAUGGGGAUCGCCCCAUUUGCCCACUUGGCGAUGUACAAGGUUUGUAUAACUAGUUUUGAAUGCUUUGAGAGUAUGGUAUUGGCAGCAAUGGAUGCUGCUAUAGAGGAUGGUGUCGAUGUGCUUUCAAUGUCACUUGGAGAUCCGUCAGAACAUCUUUAUAACGAUUUAAUGGCAUUGGGUGCAUUCAGGGCCAUGCAAAAUGGCAUCUUUGUGAGCUGCGCAGCUGGCAACGAAGGACCAGAUAGCUCUUCUUUAGUAAAUGAGGCACCUUGGAUAUUAACAGUUGGAGCAAGUACCAUUGAUAGGGAAAUCAGGUCAACAGUGACAUUAGGUAACAGUGAGCAAUUUCACGGCCAAACCGUGUUCCAGCCUAAGGACUUUCAUCCACAACAAUUUCCAUUAGUCGAUCCUGGCACGAGUGGCAAUGAUUCAGCGAUAUUUUGUGAUGAAGGGUCACUAAAACACAUUGAUGUUACAGGCAAGAUUGUUCUAUGCCAGACUGGAGGUGAUAGUGGAAAUGUCGACAAAGGAGUAGAAGUAAAAAAUAAUGGUGGAGCGGGCAUGAUUGUAAUCAAUAGUUUGGCCAUGGAGUCUUUCACUAGAGCUGCAGUCCAUGUCCUUCCUGCAUCACACAUCAAUUACAAGGACGGAUUAGCGAUCAAAGCUUACUUAAACUCCACGUCAUCUCCUACUACAGCAAUUUCAUUCCAAGGUACCGUGAUUGGCAAGUUGAGUGCACCACGAGUAGCCAGUUUCUCAUCUAGAGGGCCCAGCAGGCUAACUCCGGGGAUCUUGAAACCUGACAUCAUCGGUCCUGGGGUAAGCAUUUUAGCUGCCUGGGGAGAGUCAGUUGACAAUGCUACAAAUUCAUUCAAUAUAGUCACGGGAACUUCAAUGUCUUGCCCACAUCUUAGCGGUGUUGCAGCUAUAAUCAAGGCAGUGCAUCCAAAGUGGUCGCCUGCUGCCAUAAAGUCAGCCAUUUUAACCACUGCUUACACAG